AAGUAAUGGUGAAAUAAUGUAUAUAUUUUUAAAAGUGAAAACAUUAGUAGGACAUGGAGGUGAGUUGACAUUGUUUACACUGUGCUUAGGUGUAAGCACAAAAUAUUUUUUUUACAUUUCUCUAUUCAGUGACUGAAACUUGUAGAAUGUUUGAACCCAUAUGCUGUGGUUUCAUGACUAGUUGGCCAUUUCCCCAUAGCAGGAAACAGAACUGUCUGAGCGUAUUGACAAAUACACAUUCAUUUUAUGCCAAACUUUCUAGUUUACAAACAUGUCCUCACCCCAUACUCUGAGAGUUUUAACAUCUACUGGUGGGCUUCCAAUGUGGAUGAUGCUUCUUCACCUCUACAUAAGCUAUGUUGUUGCAGAAGACAUCAGAGUAGUUGGACGAGUAGGAAACUCCAUAUUCCUUCACCCUAAAAUGCACUUACACGCCAAGAUCUCUGACAUAAGAUGGAAACAUGAUAAUACAGAUAUGUUAAUAGCUAGAAAUGGUACGCUUGUUCAUUUAAUGGAUAGGUGUGAGAUCUUUCUAAAUGGUUCACUGAAGUUUAAUGAAGGACUGAAAAGAGACAGUGGAAAUUAUACUGUUCAACAAUACAGUGAAAAUGGAGGCCGUUUAUCCGAGCGGCACAUUGAGCUCAAUAUUCUAGGUGAGUUGUUUGAAAUUACACAAUUCUUCAAUUUGUCAGGGAAGUUUUAGCACAAACAUACACGUCUAUGUUGAUUAAAGAGGCAAUCUGCAAUUUGACCAAUAACAGUGUUCACCCAGCCAUUGUUUUGGUAAACAGCUGAGAGAUGGGGUUGUAAAAAUGUAUCCACUCUCAAAUUCAGACUGAGCUAUGGAUGCACAAUAUCAAGAUUACUGUAUUAACAAUGUUUUAAACUAUACAGUUAGUUUACAAUCACAUUGUUUAUAAACAAUGGAGUAAAACAGGCUUAUAUUUUGGUUUCUGGUGGGGUAUGACAGUUGAACUAAGUUCAUGAGGCAUUAAUAAGUAAUAUUCUUCAAGAAUGAAUGGGUAUAUCAUUAAUUUAAGUCCAAAAAUGGAUGUACCCACUUGCAAAUUGCCCCUUUAACAUACGAAUUUGAGUUUUUUUAUUUUGGCUUUCGUUCAUUUAUUGACCAUGAAUGUUAAUUUGCUUAAUUUUGACUGAAAAUAAUAUUCUCUGUUGUAGCUUGUUGAUUGACUUUGCACUGUGUGAGUGUAUAUUUGUGUGACAUGAUUGAUUUACAUUUCAGAACCUGUUUCCAAACCAAAGGUGAGAACCUCCUGUACUUAUGAUGGGAGAGUUGUUCUGACCUGCUCUGUUGAUAAAGGAGACAGAGUUAUGAUGAUCUGGACCGAGCAGCCAUUUGCCUGGACAGGGUCCAAUCAGACCCUGAGCUCAGGUCCUGUUCUAUUCCUGGACAGCCAUACGCCUGGAGACCUGACCUGUGUGGCAAUGAACGAAAUAAGUGAGGAAGGCUUCAGCCCAGUUGUCCCAACAUGCAGAGGUCACAGGUCAGCUGUGGCUGCAUUUGGUCUCUUUGCAUUUGCACUGACGACACUGGCCGUCGCCAUUCUACAUUUGAAGAAGAGGCGUCAGAAAAAGAGAAAAGGUCAAAGUCAGACUGAAUGUACUUGUGGUUGGGAGUUCACACCAAGUAACAUAUGACAUAAAGAAGUGUUCUCUCACUGAUACGCAAGCAGAAGAGAAAUGAUCCCUCUGAUAAUUGUAGUUCUGGUGGCCACAGCGGCAGCACAAGUUAGUGCUAAGUUCUGUAAUCUCACUGAGGAGAGUGGAAAUCAUCAAUGCUAUGGGGCUGUGGGAGAAUGUUUGUCCUUACGUCUGACUGCAAACACAGCUGAAGAAAGGAUUACAUUGAAGAAAGGUGAUAAUCGUAUUCUGAACUUCCAAACUGGAGAAGACUGGAGAUCUAAACUGCAUCAGGAUUAUGUGAAUCGCUCCGAGUUCUUUAAUAAUGGAACAUUCAGACUGGACAGAGUUAUAGAGGAUGACUCUGGAGAUUACCAAUUGGAUAUAUUUAAUUCAGAGGGAACACAGUUGCGGAGAGUCAACAUGCAACUUGAGAUACAAGCCCCGGUGUCAGAGCCAGUGUUGUCUCACCUCUGUCUGCCUCAUGGAGAAACCGUGGCCACAUGCUCCUCAGAGGGAGAUGGUCUUCAGUACAGCUGGACCCUGAAUGGCCAGAAUCUGACCAGGAGUGUAGCCUAUGACCACUACCAGAACAGUGUCAUCAUGCUGAAGAGUGAUGUGACAGGAAACCUGACCUGUAUGGUUCAGAAUAAAGUCAGCAGCAGCAACUCCACUAUUCAUCUACUGGCCUGCCAAAGUAAUGUCAGAACAGUUUCCUUCCCACAAUGUAAGAAUUCAAAUGAAAUUGACUUGCCCGAUAAGAUCAUUUUAUUGAUUGGUUAUUGUUGACACUGUUGAUUAAUCCUACUCUCAGAAUUAUGUUUGUCUCUUCCCAGUUUUCUCCUCCCAGAUUCGUUUUGUAAUUGUGACAGUAGGUAUAGCUCUAGCUGUUGGAACCCUUGUCCUACUUCUUGCGGUGUUUGUUGGCGUAAACCGUCUCUGUGGGAAACUGAGAUUUGGACAUACUACUUCAGGUUGCUCUAAUGAUGAGGGUGAUGCUGUUGUAUACACUGAAGUAUUCAACACAAGAAAGAGAGAAGUCAACCAGGAACCUACAGAGAUGGUGGAGUAUGGAGAGAUCAAAAUGGCUGCCAGUGUUAAUGAGGAAGAAAGCCCCAAGAAUCAGGGGGACAUGGAAAUGACAACCAACCAGACAUAUGACACAUCUUUUCUGACAACUUUCGGCAGGACUUAGUAGAAACCAAACAUGUAAGAGUGUAUUACUCCCUUGUAUAUGUUUGUGUUGUCAUUUGAGUCUAUGAAAAUGUGUAUUGCUUCAAAUCUUGAACUUUUAACCCUUUCAACCAUACCUCUUAACCAAAUGGAGGGACGUUGGUCUGAAACAACAGAUGACUGUUAAAUAUCUUAAUUUUAUGAUUGUGUGAUGUUUACAGUGUUUGGGAUCUUUUGCAAUAUUGUGUGUUUGCCAUCCAUUCUCCUUCAUUUGCUGCUGACUUGGGAUUGUACUUUACCUGGCAAUGUCAGAGUGUUAAAUACUAAACGUAGGAGAGAAACAUUGAUGAACAUGAUAGCUUAACUU